rnacentral:rRNA from 1 species
GAUGAACGCUGGCGGCGUGCCUAAUACAUGCCAGUCGAGCGAACGGACGAGAAGCUUGCUUCUCUGAUGUUAGCGGCGGACGGGUGAGUAACACGUGGAUAACCUACCUAUAAGACUGGGAUAACUUCGGGAAACCGGAGCUAAUACCGGAUAAUAUUUUGAACCGCAUGGUUCAAAAGUAAAAGACGGUCUUGCUGUCACUUAUAGAUGGAUCCGCGCUGCAUUAGCUAGUUGGUAAGGUAACGGCUUACCAAGGCAACGAUGCAUAGCCGACCUGAGAGGGUGAUCGGCCACACUGGAACUGAGACACGGUCCAGACUCCUACGGGAGGCAGCAGUAGGGAAUCUUCCGCAAUGGGCGAAAGCCUGACGGAGCAACGCCGCGUGAGUGGUGAAGGUCUUCGGAUCGUAAAACUCUGUUAUUAGGGAAGAACAUAUGUGUAAGUAACUGUGCACAUCUUGACGGUACCUAAUCAGAAAGCCACGGCUAACUACGUG